UACAGAGGUCCCAAGCGUUGUUCGGAUUCACUGGGCGUAAAGGGUGCGUAGGCGGCCAGAUAAGUCUGAUGUGAAAUCUCCGGGCUUAACCCGGAAACUGCAUUGGAAACUAUUUGGCUAGAGAGUUGGAGGGGGGACUGGAAUUCUCGGUGUAGCAGUGAAAUGCGUAGAUAUCUGGAGGAACACCGGUGGCGAAGGCGGCAUCCUGGACCAAUUCUGACGCUGAGGAGCGAAAGCCAGGGGAGCAAACGGG
rnacentral:rRNA from 1 species